CCAAUUUUGUUAAUGUGGCUGAAAGGGAUACUGUCACCAUUUCAUCAUAGGGAAGUGGUUUUGGUGCAUAAAACCUGUUCCUAUAUCCUAGCAAAAAUAUGCAAACCAGAGAUGGCUACAAGCACGUAUCUAGUAACUAGCAAACUGACAGUCACUUCCGAACACCUUAGAAUAUCUUUAUUUUUAACCUUUUUACCUGAGUUUGCCACAAGCUCCUGGAGCAGCCUGCUUGCCAGCCUCCUGCCCACAGACUAUAGACACUGUGAAAAAAUAAUGUAAAAGUCUCUGUUCGUGCAAUUGGGAUUAUAUGGUUUGUUUACCGAACAACCGCACAAACCAGAGACCACCGUGGUGCUUGUUAACACCUAUUACCAACUUGGAACAUUUCUCACCGCAGUGUUCUAAUUGUUCAUCUGGGUGGCCGCAAUUCCUAUAGACAACCACGAGGUGGUGGCCAUCUUGUUCGCAUGAACGCAGG